GACAGAGGGUGCAAACGUUGUUCGGAAUUACUGGGCGUAAAGCGCGUGUAGGCUGUUCGACAAGUCGGAUGUGAAAGCCCUGGGCUCAACUCAGGAAGUGCAUUCGAAACUGUCGAGCUGGAGUCCUGGAGAGGAAGGCGGAAUUCUCGGUGUAGAGGUGAAAUUCGUAGAUAUCGAGAGGAACACCGGUGGCGAAGGCGGCCUUCUGGACAGUGACUGACGCUGAGACGCGAAAGCGCGGGGAGCAAACAGG
rnacentral:rRNA from 1 species